GACGAACGCUGGCGGCGCGCUUAAAACAUGCAAGUCGAACGAAAAGCCCGGGCUUGCCCGGGUGGAAAGUGGCGAACGGGUGCGUAACACGUGAGCAACCUGCCCCGAAGACUGGGAUAACACCGGGAAACCGGUGCUAAUACCGGAUGCCUUCAUCAUGUCGCAUGGCGAGAUGAAGAAAUGGAUUCCGCUUCGGGAUGGGCUCGCGGCCUAUCAGCUUGUUGGUGGGGUAAUGGCCUACCAAGGCAACGACGGGUAGCUGGUCUGAGAGGAUGUCCAGCCACACUGGGACUGAGACACGGCCCAGACUCCUACGGGAGGCAGCAGUUAGGAAUCUUGCGCAAUGGGCGAAAGCCUGACGCAGCGACGCCGCGUGCGGGAUGAC
rnacentral:rRNA from 1 species